rnacentral:tRNA from 1 species
GCUGGCGUAGCUCAGUGGUAGAGCAGCUGAUUUGUAAUCAGCAGGCCGGGGGUUCAAAUCCCUUCGCCAGCU